UUGUGUUCCAUGGAAGCAGAUGUGGUACAGUCAACAACAUGUACAGGAUAGCGAAUCCUGAAAUCACACAGGAUACCGGAUCUUACGACGGUUGAUGGAGUCCAUCCAGAAAUUUGUGCUUCUGGUACACGAUCGAAUAAAACGAGGAAUCGCGCAGGACUGAAGGAAUUAAUUGUGCGACGUAGAAAGAAAUCAAAGGACAAACAAAUGACUGAUUAAAGCUACAGUGCGGAAAAGAGAUGUUGACGGUCUCGUUGUGGAUGUAGAAGAGGCUACCGAGACAUUGGCGGAUGGUCAUAAGCGGUCUGUAACCGGUGAGGAUGUGCGGAU